AAAGCAGGUCUGCAAUUACAGUACUUCAAAUGUGUGGGAGUAUUGUCAUUAAUCCUGCUGAGAGUAAAAUUCUGCUGUGGAGUAUUUAUACCUGGUCACAUUACUGAUGAGGAUGCUCUGUGGUAGUGACACUA